rnacentral:rRNA from 1 species
UACAGAGGGUGCAAGCGUUGUUCGGAAUUACUGGGCGUAAAGCGCACGUAGGCGGCUUUGUAAGUUAGAGGUGAAAGCCCGGAGCUCAACUCCGGAAUUGCCUUUAAGACUGCAUCGCUAGAAUUGUGGAGAGGUAAGUGGAAUUCCGAGUGUAGAGGUGAAAUUCGUAGAUAUUCGGAAGAACACCAGUGGCGAAGGCGACUUACUGGACACAUAUUGACGCUGAGGUGCGAAAGCGUGGGGAGCAAACAGG